AGCUCCAAUAGCGUAUAUUAAAGUUGUUGCAGUUAAAAAGCUCGUAGUUGGAUUUGGGACUGGAGUCGUUCGGUCGGCCGCAAGGUCUGUUACUGAACGGCUCUGUCAUCACAUUCCCAGAGACCUGCCGUGUACUUAACUGUGCGCGGUACGGGAUUUGGGACGUUUACUUUGAAAAAAUUAGAGUGCUCAAAGCAGGCGCUUUGCCUGAAUAAUGGUGCAUGGAAUAAUGGAAUAAGAUCUUCGGAUCUAUUUUGUUGGUUUUCGGAAGCCGAGAUAAUGAUUAAGAGAGACAGACGGGGGCAUUCGUAUUGUGGUGUUAGAGGUGAAAUUCUUGGAUCGCCGCAAGACGAACAACUGCGAAAGCAUUUGCCAAGCAUGUUUUCAUUAAUCAAGAACG
rnacentral:rRNA from 1 species